rnacentral:snRNA from 1 species
AGCUUUGUGCAGUGGCAGUAUCGUAGCCAAUGAGGUUUAUCCGAGGCGCGAUUAUUACUAAUUGAAAAGGAACUCUGAUUAGCUUUUCCUUACCUGUAUCCUUGAAAUGAUGUGACAUUGAAGGUUGUGCCUUAAAAGCUUUGGGAUCCUAUGAGAAAAG